GAGAGAGAGAGGCAGAGACACAGGCAGAGGGAGAGGGAGAAGCAGGCUCCAUGCACCGGGAGCCCGACGUGGGAUUCGAUCCCGGGUCUCCAGGAUCGUGCCCUGGGCCAAAGGCAGGCGCCAAACCGCUGCGCCACCCAGGGAUCCCUAGUUUAUUACUUCUUUGAAAAGGUUUUGAUCUCUUUACUUACUAUUAUUUUCAAUACUACAAGUUAUACACAAAAAUAGUAUUAAAGAAAUCUGGACUUUCCUUCCCUUAGGCAAAUGAUACUUAUAUAUUUAUUUUUGUUUAUAUUUCAGAAAAGACAACAGAGCCCUGCAGCAGAUAUUCAGCAACCAGAGGAACUGUUCAGAACAUUUCCAAACCUACAUCAUCUAUUAGAUUUGCUGAACCAAUUGGUAAGUGUUUUUCUUUUCUUCAAUUAUUAUGUCUUUCAGCUUAAAUAAUAGUCUGGAAUUUAUGGCUCAAGUGUUUUUUUAACUUAGAUAUAAUUAAUAUGCAACAUGGUAUUGGUUUUAAGUAUACCAUAUAAUGAUUUGAUAUUUGUAAACAUUUUUGAAAUGAUCACCAUAAUAUGUAUAGUUAACAUUGAUCAGCAUACAGAGUGGUAAUUUUUUUUCCUUGUGAUGAAAACUGUUAAGACCUACUUUCUUAGUUCUUUCAAAUAUACCAUAGAGCAUCAUUUUAUUUAUUUAUUUAUUUAUUUAUUUUUUAAUUUUGGAGAGAGAAAGUGAAGGGCGGGGGGAGAAUCUUAAGCAGGCUCCACACCCAGCAUGUAGCCCAACACAGGGCUCAAUCUCACAACCCUGAGGUCAUGACCUGAGCUGAGAUCAAGAGUACAACACUGAACCAACUGAGCCACCCAGGGACCCUACCACAUAAUAUAAUUAACUGUAGUCACCAUUCUGUAUAUUAUAUCCUCAUGACUUUUUUAUUUUAUACCUAGAGGUUUGUGCUUUUUAAUCAUUUUUACCCAUUUUACCCUCUCCCCUCCCUAACUCUGCCAACCACAGUAUGUUCUCUGUAUCCAAGAGUUCAGUAUUUUGCUUGUCCAGAUUCCUCAUAUAAGUGAGAUCACACAUUGUCUUUCUCUGACUUAUUUCAUUGAGCAUAAUGCCCUGUAAAUCCAUCCAUGCUGUUGUGUAUGCAAGAUUUCCUUUUUUAUGGCCGAAUAGUAUUCCUCUAUGUGUGUGUGUGUAUAUAUAUAUAUACCACAUUUUCUUUUUUUAGCUGGAGCUCCCCUUGAAAAUUUAUUUUUCAAAGUACUGGUGAAAGAUAGGUCUUCUGAACCUCCCAGGAUGGGUGUUUAUUUAAAUUCCAGUUAGUUAACAUACAGUGUAAUAUUAGUUUCAGGUAUAACAUAUACUGAUUCAACACUUCCCUACAACAGCAGGUGCUCAUCACAGCAAGGCACUCCUUAAUCUCCAUCAACCUAUUUCACCCAUC
rnacentral:lncRNA from 1 species